rnacentral:tRNA from 1 species
GCCGAAGUGGCGGAAUUGGUAGACGCGCUAGGUUCAGGGUCUAGUCCGCGAAUGCGGGUGGGAGUUCGAGUCUCCCCUUCGGCACCA